rnacentral:SRP_RNA from 2 species
GCCAGGCGUGGUGGCGGACACCUGUAAUCCCAGCUACUCAGGAGGCUGAGGUAGGGGAAUCGCUUGAACCUGGGAGGCAGGGUUGCAGUGAGCUGAGAUCAUGCCACUGCACUCCAGCCUAGGUGACAAAGCGAGACUCCAUCUCAA